UGUGUCUGCAUUUCUGGACGCCCCAGAGCACAGAAGUUGCCGGCACUUUGAGGUCUUCCUCGGCAUGUGCCAGAUUACAUGAGUGACGGCUGGGAAUAUGUUUUCUUUUUUGUAAUGGAGGCGUGUUUCACAUAUAGUAAAGCUCACCAAAAAGUGCUCAGUUUGUUGUGUUUUGACAAACAUCUAAACUACAUAACCAUGAAACAAAUCAAGACACGCAGCGUUUCCGUCACAGCUGAAAG
rnacentral:lncRNA from 10 species